GGAAGCGUUCUUAGCGGCGGACGGGUGAGUAACACGUGGGUAACCUGCCUCAAAGUGGGGGAUAGCCUUCCGAAAGGAAGAUUAAUACCGCAUAAGCCUACAGUGCCGCAUGGCACAGCAGGAAAAGGAGCAAUCCGCUUUGAGAUGGACCCGCGGCGCAUUAGCUAGUUGGUGAGGUAACGGCUCACCAAGGCGACGAUGCGUAGCCGACCUGAGAGGGUGAUCGGCCACAUUGGAACUGAGACACGGUCCAAACUCCUACGGGAGGCAGCAGUGGGGAAUAUUGCACAAUGGGAGAAAGCCUGAUGCAGCAACGCCGCGUGAGUGAUGAAGGCCUUCGGGUCGUAAAGCUCUUUGAUCAGGGAUGAUAAUGACAGUACCUGAAAAACAAGCCACGGCUAACUACGUGCCAGCAGCCGCGGUAAUACGUAGGUGGCGAGCGUUGUCCGGAAUUACUGGGCGUAAAGGAUGCGUAGGUGGAUACUUAAGUGGGAUGUGAAAUCCCCGGGCUCAACCCGGGAACUGCAUUCCAAACUGGGUAUCUAGAGUGCAGGAGAGGAAAGCGGAAUUCCUAGUGUAGCGGUGAAAUGCGUAGAUAUUAGGAGGAACACCAGUGGCGAAGGCGGCUUUCUGGACUGUAACUGACACUGAGGCAUGAAAGCGUGGGUAGCAAACAGGAUUAGAUACCCUGGUAGUCCACGCCGUAAACGAUGGGUACUAGGUGUAGGAGGUAUCGACCCCUUCUGUGCCGUCGUUAACACAAUAAGUACCCCGCCUGGGGAGUACGGUCGCAAGACUAAAACUCAAAGGAAUUGACGGGGGCCCGCACAAGCAGCGGAGCAUGUGGUUUAAUUCGAAGCAACGCGAAGAACCUUACCUAGACUUGACAUCUCCUGAAUUACCCUUAACCGGGGAAGCCCUUCGGGGCAGGAAGACAGGUGGUGCAUGGUUGUCGUCAGCUCGUGUCG
rnacentral:rRNA from 1 species